AGGUCACCCUCUUUGAUUGAAGGUUUAAAUUAAGGAGACUUUCACUACCAGCUCAAUGUGAAUGAACUCAGAAACGUGACGCUCUGUGAAAAGAAGCCAGGACGACAUUCCAAAGAAAGGAAUAAGAGUCAUAACAGAAUCUGAAAAACUGCGAAGCGGGUUGAUGAUCAUUGGAGGUAUGUGCAGUUUGGGGCUGUUAUGAACAAAGCUGAUAAGAACAGUUGAGUGCAAUCUGCUGUGGACAUAUGGUAGGAGUGAAGGUCCUGGAUCCCAUGACAGGAAACCGAAGUCCUCCGACGCUACUGGCUGCGCCAGCGCCGUGCCCCCCGCCCCCCCACCCCCCACCCC